GCUCCGUCCUUACUAUGUGUCUAGCACAAGAAAGAACUCAGAAAAUAUUUGUUGGAACAAAUAUGGUGAGUAAGAUGGAAAGGAAAGAGGACAUAUGGUGACAUAACACCAGGGAAACCUGAAUGUUCCAGUCGGACAGCAAGAUGGCGUUCACCUUUCCGGGGGACACCGUGGUGUCACGCACGGGCAGGACGUUUGUGGGCAGAAAAUACAGUCUGCCUCUGGCCACCACAGGGCCUCCGUGGAGUUGACGGGCUAUUUUCCAAAGCAGUCAGAAAACAGGGAGAUGACAUCGUCGGUGGUGACUGACCCGGCUCUGGGACCAAACCCCACAAGCCCACACUUGUUACACAGAUGAGCAGCUCUUCUAGUAAGCUGGAGAGCAAACGGACGCUAUGUAAAACAAAUUGUUUUAAUCGGAAACAGCAAAGAAGAAACAUAAAUUAGGUUUAAUGGUAGAAGUAAAGCAAAGCCUGAACAGAAGGUUCAGUGCAAAUACGUGUUCUGCCAACAGCUCGCUCGAGUCAGUUCUCGCUCCCAACUUCUCAGGACAUGAGCCGAGUCUUCUAUUCAUGAAAAGGCUUAUGUGGAAGAUUCUAAACGUUGCACACAGGUGCAAACACACACAGACACCCUCUGAGAGGCAAACCUUUCUCUAGAACCAUGACGGUGCGAGCACGAGCCCAGGACAGAAGUUCACAAUAUAUGCACACUGAACCCACUAAAAACCGGAAGGCAGACCUUGUGCUCCAUUCUGGCUAGUGUUGUGACAUAGGAACCAGAAGAAAACGAAAGCCCGUCGUCUGGUGCCUUCCGAAGGCAGCCUGGCCGCAGAGGUGGGGCUCGUGUUCCAGCCGGACGGCGCCGGGCCGGGCUCGCCGGCAAGGGAAUGGGUUCGCACACUGAUAAGACGCGGCCCGGGAAGCCACACGACGGAGACCACACGGGUCAGGAGCCCAGACAGGAAGACCCCUGACCUGCCUGGGCUGAGGAGGAGCAAGGUGGAACAGGGCAGAAGCACCUGACGGCUGAGCCGGGUGUGGGCCGCGGGCUUCAGUCCACCAGCCCAACAGCUUGGGAAGCAGAAACCAUCAGCGGCACCAUCAAGCCUUAGGUCUCAGACCAGCACCAUGUCCCCAGCCACGGCCACCCCUUGCGGCCCGCGCUCUCCCUGACUCCUGAUUCGCCCCGGACUCCACACGCCUGUGUCCCCCCCCGCAAAUUGGACCCAAAGAGAGGCCUGUCAUGAAGACAGUUCUGCAUAAAUGAAGAGGGAAGGCAAGGCGGGAACGCAUUUCCUCUGGGGCCGGGUAGCGGCAGUCUGACCACUGGCGAGAGCGGCCUGGCGCUCGCUGCUCCGGGGAGAAGACCUCAUGCUCACUCUGCGCAGGGGAAGCCAGCUGCCGUGGCCUGGAAGAGGCUCGUCACCCGUUGUGGACACAGAGGGCAAAAUCAGGACCGGUGUCGGCUGGGGACAGCCUCCGCCCAGCGUGAGAGAGCAGAGGCGUGGGCCAGCGCCCAGUGGAGCCACCUGCCCGCCUCCCUCGCCGCCAUCCCGCUGGGCCAUGUGGGCCAGAGGGCGCCCCCCAUGCGCGCCUUUCACUCUGCAGAUGUGGUUCGCCCGUGGCAGUCUCCUGGGAGAGAGGGCAGGGGCGCCAGAAAGUCUGACGUGCCAUUUUAUUUGGUUGCUGAGUCUUCUUCCCCACGGCCGAGAAAACACGAAUAGUGCCUCUGCCUUUUAUGAUGAAGGAGCUGGCGUGGUCCUCGGGGGACGCACUGGAGAGCGGGAGGGCCCUGCAGGGUCUUCUCAGGUGCUCCUCUGGCAGUGGGGGUGGGUCUCUUGUGGUCACACAGCAGGGCC